CGCUGUAAACGAUGUGAACGAGGUGUGGGCAGUGUAGAAGCCGUCUGUGCCGGAGCAAACGCGAUAAGUUCACCGCCUGGGGAGUACGGUCGCAAGGCUAAAACCCAAAGGAAUUGACGGGGGCCCGCACAAGCAGCGGAGCGUGUGGUUUAAUUCGAUGCAACGCGAAGAACCUUACCUGGGCUUGACAUGUACGUAGUAGUGAAGGGAAACCGGAACGAGCCUUCGGGCAGCGUAGACAGGUGCUGCAUGGCUGUCGUCAGCUCGUGUCGUGAGAUGUUGGGUUAAGUCCCGCAACGAGCGCAACCCGUGUUGCUAGUUACAAGUGUCUAGCGAGACUGCCGGUAACAAGCCGGAGGAAGGUGCGGAUGAUGUCAAGUCAGCAUGGCCUAUAUGUCCAGGGCUACACACACGCUACAAUGGCUGGUACAAAGAGAAGCGAAAGGGAGACCUGAAGCGAAUCUCAUCAAAGCCAGUCAUAGUUCGGAUUGCAGGCUGCAACUCGCCUGCAUGAAGUCGGAGUUGCUAGUAACCGCAGGUCAGCAAUACUGCGGUGAAUACGCUCCCGGGCCUUGUACACAC
rnacentral:rRNA from 1 species